rnacentral:rRNA from 1 species
GAUGAACGCUGGCGGCGUGCCUAAUACAUGCAAGUCGAGCGAACAGACGAGGAGCUUGCUCCUCUGACUUUAGCGGCGGACGGGUGAGUAACACGUGGGUAACCUACCUAUAAGACUGGGAUAAAUUCGGGAAACCGGAGCUAAUACCGGAUAAUAUAUUGAACCGCAUGGUUCAAUAGUGAAAGACGGUUUUGCUGUCACUUAUAGAUGGAUCCGCGCCGCAUUAGCUAGUUGGUAAGGUAACGGCUUACCAAGGCAACGAUGCGUAGCCGACCUGAGAGGGUGAUCGGCCACACUGGAACUGAGACACGGUCCAGACUCCUACGGGAGGCAGCAGUAGGGAAUCUUCCGCAAUGGGCGAAAGCCUGACGGAGCAACGCCGCGUGAGUGAUGAAGGUCUUCGGAUCGUAAAACUCUGUUAUUAGGGAAGAACAAAUGUGUAAGUAACUAUGCACGUCUUGACGGUACCUAAUCAGAAAGCCACGGCUAACUACGUG